rnacentral:lncRNA from 13 species
GCACCUGAGCCAUAAUGUUCAUUCUUAAUCAGUGGACUGAUCUCCACCAGUUAUUGCUUAUUGUGUACCUAUUAUGUGCCUGGCACCGUGCGAACCUUAAACAUAUUAAUUCCAUUGAAACUUCAUGGCAGCCCAUGGAGAUAGGUAUUAUCAUGAUCCCCAUCUGACAGAUGAGGCCAAGGAACGAAAGGAAACUGAGUUAGUGUGGAGCUGGAACCGACCACGGGCAUUCUGACUGAGAGCUCUCUUAUUCAGCACGACUGAUCCCUAUUCAAGUUUAGAUCUUUCUCUUUUUACUUCAUUUAGGUUACUUCGUGGGGGCAACAGGGCGAGCCAUUACCCCUACAGACCACUUGGGGGCGCGGUCUGAUCUAAGUUGGAGAGAACAGUGGGAAAGCAGGGCUCCUUCCCCUCGCGGCAGGGAUUUUCUCUGGGCCAGUGCCAUCCUGCAACAGCCAAUCAGAAACUUCGCUGACAGCGCUGGGCUCUCCGCGGGAAUGGCCGUGGAUGAUGAUUGGCUAACUCCCUUAAGGGGAUUUCUGGUUUCCAGGACGUCGUGAUUCGAGCAGGAUGGGAGGUCUCCAAAGCAAAAGAGGGCUCCAGACAUCACCUUUAGCCGAAUGAGCCCCAACGCUGGGAGUGUCUGUCUGACCCUCUUGCUGAGGAAAAGGCGACAGCCAAUCGCUACAGUCCCUUUAGGCUUUUCUCUCCUGCCAGUCCUCACUGUCCCUCCGAGGGUGUUCCUGGACGCUUCAGUCGGGAGUGAAAAAAAAAAUGGAAGACAUCAAGAAUUAACUGCCAAAUCAGAGGAAUGA